AGAGCUUCCCAGCCCAUAGCAUUAGCCACUAUUAGGGUUAGUGACUUGACAUGGCUAUUCCACCACACCAGAGCUCUGUCCACAAAGGCGCAGGCAACAAAUUUAACUUUGCUCCUUUCUGUAUAGGAGCAGAUCUCGAAGAUCGACUCCGUUUUCUCGAACCAUGUCACACCCCAAAACCAAGAACGGCAGAAACGUUCUGGGGCGGAGGACGUCAUGUAAAGUAUCACAACACAGUAAAUGUAAAUAAGCAAACAACAUCAUCCAUUGCAUUAAAUAUAUAAUUUUAAUACAAGCGUGUUCUGUACAGUUUUAGACACCAAAAAUAUAAUGUAAAUCAAAAUAAUAUGAUGAGUCUUGAAGGCACUCCAUCUUCUCAAAAGCUGGCAUCGGUACCUGUCUACUGAUGACCUGAGAAUACAAGUUAUUUUGAAAGAGUUUAUCAGCAUUAAGCGGGUGAGUUCAUAAGUAUUUUAGUGUCGAUGUUUGUUGUCAAAACGUUUGAACGUGUCUCAAGUAUAAGUUUGUAAAAAUGUAUGUAAGUGUUUGUAAAAGUUUGAAUCUCUCAGAAAAACCUAUAUUUUCUAUUAAAGUAGCCUUCUACCAAGGCUUAACUGUUUUGUAUGCUCGUUUGUUGUAAAAGUGUGUAAUUUCCCAAGUGUAACUGUCAUUUAACAAAUAUAGUUUGUACGUUAAUGUUUAAGUGAGGUUCUCACUAAAAAUAUGUAAUGGGUAAAUCAUUGUAGUACUGUAGUUUUGUAUUAUAGGAACUACUGCUGUACUAACUACCUUAAACCGGAUUUAUAUUAAGGUAUAAUGUGAUAAAUUGCACCAUACUAUCGACUGGUAACAACGACAUACGAAUGGUCGUAAUAACGGAAUGACGUUUGGCACCCGCAGACCUGCAGGUCCGGCUGUAGCUAGCAGCAAGGUGUAGGAUAGUCAAUCCAGUAUAGAUCUAUA
rnacentral:lncRNA from 1 species